rnacentral:tRNA from 1 species
UCCCCUAUAGCUCAGUUGGUAGAGCAUUGGACUGUUAAUCCAUGUGUCACUGGUUCGAGUCCAGUUGGGGGAG